rnacentral:misc_RNA from 1 species
AACGCACGAGACCUGCGGACCUGCGGAGGGAUCAUUAAUGAGAAACUGCCCCUCGCGGGUAGAUCUCCCACCCUUUGUAAACUUACCUUUGUUGCUUUGGCAGGCCCGUCUCCGGACCGCCGGCUUCGGCCGGCCAGUGCCUGCCAGAGGAUUCUAAAACUCUGUCUGUCAGUGUUGUCUGAGUCUAUAUACAAUCGUUAAAACUUUUAACAAUGGAUCUCUAGAUCGGAAGAGCACACG